CAAAAACAUGUCUUAAUGAUUUUUAAUAUUAAGUCUGACCUGCCCAAUGAUAAUAAUUUAAUGGCUGCAGUAAUUUAACUGUACAAAGGUAGCAUAAUCAUUAGUUUUUUAAUUGAGGACUAGUAUGAAAGGUUUUUCAAAAUAUAUACUUUAUUAUUAUAAUAUAUAUAAUUUUAUUUUUUAGUAAAAAAGCUAAAAUAUUUAUAUUAGACGAUAAGACCCUAUAGAUUUUUAUAAUUAAAUUAAUUACUAUAAUAAGGAUUUAAUUUAUUUAUUUAAUUAAAUUAUUUUAUUGGGGUGAUAGUAAAAUUAAAAUAAUUUUUAUGUAAAUUUUACAUUGAUAUAUGAAUAAUUGAUCCAUUAUAAAUGAUAGUUAAAUUAAAUUACCUUAGGGAUAACAGCAUAAUUUAUUUGGAAAGUUCUUAUUAAUAAAUAAGUUUAUGACCUCGAUGUUGGAUUAAGAUUUAAAUUAGGAGUAGAAAUUUAAUUAUUAAGUCUGUUCGACUUUUAAAAUCUUACAUGAUCU
rnacentral:rRNA from 1 species